rnacentral:rRNA from 1 species
GAUGAACGCUGGCGGCGUGCCUAAUACAUGCAAGUCGAGCGAACAGGCGAGGAGCUUGCUCCUCUGACGUUAGCGGCGGACGGGUGAGUAACACGUGGAUAACCUACCUAUAAGACUGGGAUAACUUCGGGAAACCGGAGCUAAUACCGGAUAAUAUAUUGAACCGCAUGGUUCAAUAGUGAAAGACGGUUUUGCUGUCACUUAUAGAUGGAUCCGCGCCGCAUUAGCUAGUUGGUAAGGUAACGGCUUACCAAGGCAACGAUGCGUAGCCGACCUGAGAGGGUGGUCGGCCACACUGGAACUGAGACACGGUCCAGACUCCUGCGGGAGGCAGCAGUAGGGAAUCUUCCGCAAUAGGCGAAAGCCUGACGGAGCAACGCCGCGUGAGUGAUGAAGGUCCUCGGAUCGUAAAACUCUGUUAUUAGGGAAGAACAAAUGUGUAAGUAACUAUGCACGUCUUGACGGUACCUAAUCAGAAAGCCACGGCUAACUACGUG